GGUGCUCGAGUGAGAGAGGAUGACAAGCAGGAGGAGGUUUUCAGUGCAGGGGCUUUCGCCCCCAGAGUCACUGUGCAGUCUCCAACCAUGACUUCCCUCGUCAGGGAACUGCUCUAGGCCCUUAGAGCUGAAGCUCUCACUCCUUCAAGAAGCUAUGGACUGGGGACGGCGCAAAGCCAGGAUCUGCACAGGAUGCAAAAGCAAAGAGCCUCCCACAACCGAGAAUGCAAGAGAGGAGAGAACUGCCUGAACCCGCGAGAACGAGCAGUCUCACUGUGCCCUUAAGACAGCGUCGUGGGCCAGACCUUCAGUGCCCCGUUGAGAGCAGAAGCACCCAGGUGCAGGCCCUGGUCACAGAGCCGCAGCGAGCUGAGGCCCUUGGGCCUCUGCCCUAAGCACAGACUCGGGCUUCCUGCAACAACCCUGCCUCAUGAGAAGAGUGCUUCCUUUUUAGUCGCGUUUCAACACACACCUGCACCUCCUACUUCAUCUGUGAGCGGCCCCCGGUGCUGAGCUCCUGUCGGCUUCCCGUCCCGAGCCAGGGCGAGUGGCGAAAAGGUCAAACACACCCCCGAGAGCGCCUGGCACAGGGGGACCAAUCUGGCUCCCCCCAGAGUGGUGACCUUGAGGAGGUCACUGGGAUCUGGCAGUCUCAGCACCGUGAGCAGCGCAAUCAGGACCGGGUUAGCUGAGCUCUGACUCCGCUCAACCACCCACGGGGAGGAGGGCACUGCUGGAACCUCUCCCACAGCUCCAGGCACCCAGGCCGCCCCCUCUGCUGCUGCCCAGGACUAUUAGAUGCUGUGGAAGGCCUCGAAGAAGGCAAGCCUUGGGCCAGGGCAGCUGCAGGGCUCGGCAGAGAGUCGCCCACUGUAAGAAGUCUGUGUGGUCACAUGGCAGGGGCAGGUGGCCCUGCUAGAAAAGGCAGCGGGAAAACGCUCUGUUCGCUUCCUGUCCUGCUCUAAUCACGCUGACAGCCAGACACGAUCUGACCAGGACCUGCCCGCAGUCCACUCUGAGUCCCAACCUUGAACAGCAAGGUCCUGCUGCACCUGAGUUGGUCCCGUCCAGGGAACUGGAGAGACCACAUCAGAAAGGCCUCCACCCGCGGCACGGCCAGAGCUGAGGGCGCUGUCACACUUCACCCAGCCGGGCCACAUGCCCAUCUGACUGCUAAUUUACUCAUGUUGCUGUUUGCUCUAAAAAUAAGAGACCACGUUUCAGUUGAGCUAUCAGCCCUAAUUCACCGAGAGGCAGAGCUUGGUUUGGACGCGCUCCUGCCCCCAGGUCGCCCCCCCACCCCGCCCCGCACUAUCGUCAGUCAUCACCGCCCCCAGGUCAAGCACUGAACGGUCUCCGUCCAGAUGUUGCUCUGAAGGCAAGAGUUAAAUCCGUGAAAAUAGCCCACGGCCGGCCAUCCGCCCUGCACGUCCUGGGCCGGGGCUCAGACAGAAUUUCCCCCCAUAGGGUGUGGGCCGCGCUCCACGAGGCCCCCGUGCACGCGAGGACAAAACACACACACAGAGACGUGGCCACACCGAGGGGCCGCCGUCCAGGUUCUGCUUCCCUCUACCUUCUCAGAACACUGAGGACUAUCUUGUCGUCCUCUCGGUGUCUAUUUUUCUUAUCCUAUUUGGAAAUAAAGUGGAUCCAGCUCUUCGGAAGGGAGCCCAGCCCACCGCUCCCAAGAGACCUUUAAAAGGAUUUUGUAUUUUGUGGUGGAAACAGCCCACGUGUGCCCAGCCCCACCUCCUGCCCCCAACCCUGCCCCCCAACUGCUGGGGUCCCCAGGUCUGCCUUUGCUGCAGGGGCCAGAGGGGGGCUCCGGCCCCACGACUCCGUCAGCUCCGGCCCAGGCGCCCUUCUGGGUCUGGUCUUCUCACCUGACCAACCAGAAUCAAAGGAACUCCCUGCCCUGCCUCGGGGCCUUCGCAGAAGUGCUGAGAAACCCAUAAACGUGCACAGCCGUAACAGAGGUUUUGUGACUGAAGAACACGAGGAAAAGAUGAAUGUAAAGAAGAAAAUAAAAACUAAAAUUCUGGAUCAAGGCAAGAGGAAGAUUCUUAGAAACCAAGAGUAUUCUCACCCAAUUUUGUGGAAACAGCGGAUAACGCUACUAAGCCAAGAAGGGUUUAGUAUCGUGACCAAAUAAACCCCCGGCGAGCUCCACCCGGCACCAGGACUGCCCCGCAGGGCUUGUAACAAGUGUGUGGUCGUUUUCCCAGAGGCAGUUUCCCCCAGUUAGCAAGUCUUCCUGCGCGUGGAUUCUCCACUCCUCUGUCGUCGACCCCCCCCACCGGGUGAACCAGAGGAGGCAGCGACUGUCCCGAACCUCAUGCAGUCUCACUCCCAAGCUCCGCCAGCGGGACACUGUGCCCUGUGCUUCCCGCCCCGGGUCCGUCCUGCAGCAGCAGUGCAGGGCCCUGAUCCCACCUUAUGGAUGAGGAAACCCAGACUCAAAAAGGUGACUAAUGCGCCCACAGCCAAAGCCCGGGUGGUCUCUGCCGCAAAUGUGCUCUCCCCCCAGUCCACACCGUGCCAGAAGCUGUAUGUGUGUGUGUGGCACUUUGUGUGUGAAGGUUCCGGUCUGGCCCAAGCGCUGAGCACCCGGCCCUGAGAGGGGAGCAAGGCAGGCCUGCCAGCCGGUGCGACCCUGAGCACAGACUCCCCACAGCGGUGCCACGCCAGUGGGGUCCCCAGGUACCCCCAGACCCAGAGCUAGCACAGACCCCUUCCGCUCCUCUCCCUUCCCGCACAGGUGGACUCUCACGGCUCCCGGUCACCGUCACUGUCCUGCUCGUCCUCCAUCAGGCCUCCCUGCAAGCAGGGCAGGUGCUCGAUAGGUAAACUGGGAGAGACACAGAGGGAGCUCCCAACGGGAGCUGGACAGAGCCCCCAGGGCCUCCAUUCCCAAGGCGAGGAGUCCACACCUCAGAGUGAGGCUCAUGGGUCAGUCACUCCCUUUGCCCAGAAAAGUGGCAUCAAAACCCAGGCAAAGGCUACAAGGAUUUAAGGACCUAGGUGUCCACCCUCCUUCCGUGACCUCCCGAGGGCGCAGAGGUCCAGGGUGGGGGCGGAGAACUUCCUCUCCUCCGCCUGGACCCUGGGCCCUGCACCCUGGGGAGGGCCACCUCCCGCUGCCGCCGCGGGUGGAGGCUGAGCGCCCAACCUCGCCCCCACCCUGACCACCGCAGGAACUGGGGCGCCGGCCGCUGGGCGACGUCAGAGACGGCUGUCACCUGGGCCCCUGGACCCAGGGCCGAGGCCAGCACCAUGUCCUCCUGGGGGCCCGUGCUCACUCACCCAACAGCCAGCUCUUAAAGCUCAGCGCACAGUAGGUGCUAAAGACAACAGUGCUCUUCCUGAUAUGAGAGUUUUUUCCAAGAGUUUCAUCUCGCGAAUUUCUGGGUUAUUUUAAUGUUUCUUUUUUUUUUUUUUUUACCACGACAUCUUUGCGAGGCAUAUGUAAACAAGUAACAACCCACUUAGUGAAAGAAAACAGUGCCCCAUUUCCUCCCAAAAGGAGCCGUUUCCUUUAUCACCUCUUCUGGUUUACUUAGUUAUGCUCCAGUUCUUCGCUGGCCUCUCGCAGCCGAGCCAACCGCGCGGCUUAGCACCUUCCGAGUCUGAGAGGCGCGUGCCCUUCGAGGAGCAGCAGACGGCACGACAGCCCGGAGGCCCCACACCCGGGCCGGGAGGGACGGGCCCGCCGCAGCUGUGAGAACGGCUGUCUUCUGGUGGGAAGCCCUGCCCCCGACCCCGCAGGCCUGGUCCUUCCAAUUCGCCCACCCCAGGUCUGGGAGGCAGGAGGCCUGGGGACAGGGGCGCCGAAGAGGGCUGGCUUUCUCACCUCCCACAACCUAACAAAGCACCGGCACAGGCGCUCAAGCUGCUCUGGGUCUAGAGGUGACGGCACAGCUGGACGCCUGCGAAAGAGGGGCCCAUGGGACGUCCACGUGGUGGAGAAGCCACAGCCGCCCAAAGAGGCCACCCGGCCUGCGCCGGAGCCCAGCCCAGACAGAAACGACACUCGUGGCAAGGAGGCACCUGGUGUUGGGACGCUCCGAAUAGUUCGUCUUAUCUGCUUCCAUUCCUGCCCCUACAGGUCUGAGCACCAGGCAGAGCAAAGCUUCUCCCACAGGCAGUGAGUUAGCAGCCCAUAGGCGCCGAGCACACAAUAGGCCUGGGGAAUGCUCGGCGCCCCCGCCCCUUCCCCAGGACAGCCCUUCAAGUUUAAAUCCGCUCUUCAGACACUCGACAGCUUGCAGUCCAACCUCCCUGCUCUCGCCUCGGCCACCUCGUCUAGACCCAUCCGAAGGCGAGGCGCCCUGUCAGGACAGACCGGAGACCAGGAGCGACAGGUCACCUGCAGAGACCGGUCCUCCUCCUCUGGUUCUGACCCCCCCCCCCCCCCCCCCCCCCCCCCNACCCACCCAAUCACAAGUGCUUGAGGCCAACAAGCGGCCGGGGGCAGAGAGAGGAGCCAGAUCCGGGCGCUCCUGGUACGAGGAGGCCAGCCUCCCUGAGCCCGCAGACCAUGGCCACGUGCUUCUGUUAAGUAACAUGCUGCUGGAACCCAGCCACCUGCUCGCCCCUCACCUACGGCUGCUUUUGUCCCGCAACAGCUGAGUUCGAUACCUGAGACAGACACCGUGGGCCUGCAAGACUCAUUUACAGAAAACGUAGCUCACCCUGCUGUCUCAGAAGGAAAGCAGCUUGCUCACAGGACCGAAAGGAGGUUCGAAACUAGGAGAAAUGGGUGAGGACCAAGACAGGACCCUCCAGGACACAGCACAGGACGCAGCCACCCCCACGGGCUCAGCAGGGGGCAGGCCCAUGCUGCUCUGGAGCCUCCCUUCUCGCCGCGCUGGCUCAGAGCUGUGGCAUCGGCAAGAGACUGGCCUCGCCCGCGUCAGUGGCCUUGUGUCACCCGCACAGUUCACACAGGGGCAGCCACCGCCCCCCAAACCCAGACUGCACUGCACAAGAGCACACGGGACUUACCGGGGACCCAUGACGCCAGGGACUCCAAUUUCACAUGGGAACACAAGCUGUGCUUUGCAAAGUCACCGCUGAGCCACCCAGCCUGGACCAUCCUGGACCACUGCCACCACCGGCCUCUGGACCCCAAGAACAGGGCACUGUCCUCUCCCUGAGGAAAUUCAGAGUGUGCCCCCAGCCUAGGUCCCUGGACCCCACCUGCGCAGGUCCAGCUGCCCGCCAGCCCCCAGCUGCCCGUCCCUCAGAGAUUUAACAAACUCCUGGUCCCUCUCCUCCCUGUCCAAGUCUCCAUACUCCCUCCAUGGCCCUGGACACGGCAGGCCUAACCCAGUGCUGAGGAGCGGGGGGAAAACAAGGCAGCAGAGGGCGGUGGCAGGAGGGCAAAGCCACCAGCUUGGCCGCUUCCAAACCAGAAGCUUCCUGCACUUAAACUCCCUGAAGGCGAGCGAGCUGAGUGCCAGGUGAUGAGAAGACUCAGUUACAGCACUAAACACCGCAAGUUUGACCUGGGGCCUGGAAAAAGCUUUGCUCAGCAAAUAGAGAAUUUUAGGUGAGUCACGUUCCCACUGGCAAGCCCCGUGUUCUCUCUGCUCCUGUUACUUAAACCAUCACUGCAGAGUUUCCCUAUUAUGAAUCCUAGAAAAUGCAGAAAAUCACAGAGAAUAAAGGAAUACCAGUUACUGCA
rnacentral:lncRNA from 1 species